rnacentral:lncRNA from 1 species
AUGAUGGUCAGAGAAAUGAAGGUACCAUAAAAUAUGGGUAUACCUGUCCCUAAUCAUUGUACAAGAAAAUAUUGAGGUGACCAUUAUUGGAUCUGUUAACCAAUACAACUUAGUAAAUGGUAUGCAAGACCAAGAAAUGCUUUCAUUUCUGAUUUGUAGCUCCAAGGCAUUUUGUUGUCAUUUGGCCUUUGCCUUUUGUAGUGAAUAUGAAAAUAGGGAGAUGAGGUAUGAUUGCCAAUAAGACCACUAUCCACCAAAGUUCAAAUACAGUGGAUGUAAGCAAUUAUAGGCAACCAUAUGGCCUUCAUCAAUGAGAAAAUCCCAUAAUGUAAAGUCAGCUAUAAAAGGCCCACCAGACAUGAGAAAUAUUAAACAAUUCGACUGAGAAAACUAACUGCCUAUAUAUAUAGCUACAUGUACUUGAUUACAAAACAAUUAAUCUAAAAUGAAAAUGACAGACAUGAACCAACAACAACCAGUGAACUACAUGCUCCUGACUUGGGACAGGCACAUAAUGAGUGUGGCAGGGUUAAACGUGUUUGUGAGCGCUCAACCUUUCCCCCUUAUCUGGGAUAGUGACAUAACAGCACCUUUAAAAAUCAGUGGAAAGCUUAAAGUUAUCAGUUUUGUUGAUUUAAGAAUGCAUUCAAGAAAAGGAUUGUCCAUAUAAAGUUGCCCUAAAUCUGACACCUCCUUUUCAGUACCCAUGACAUGACUUAGCCCAGUAUUCCCACAAGGGGCAAAUAUAUG